CACAUUAGAAAUAUUAUAAGAAUCAUUCAGAAACCAGUGUUCUGAAAUGUAUGGGCACAUACUUCUUAUUCUUAUCUUGUUCUUUUAUAACAUUAUUUUUAAUUUUUUAAAUUAAAAAUGAAAGUAAAAUAUGAUUGUUUAUAUUUUUUUCUUCUGCAAAAAUACUCUGUAAUCUUCUUCACGCCAUUCAUCCCCAACACCUCCAAAUACUAUUCAAUCUUCAUCACUAUCCAUCACGCCAACACGACUUGUUAGAAAAUUGUUAUAACCCAAAUCCCCACAAUAACAACGGAGGAAACAGUGAUGACUGGAACUCGCUCCAGGAGGCGGACGCUGCUUCCCAGGAUGGCCUUGGGACGUUGGUGGGUCGCUGAUUGCUGGCUCGAUACUCUGUAAGAGGUUGUUCUGAAAUGGAUGACCGGAGAGGCACACACAUCGACAUAGUUGAAGCUUCUAGUUGCGGUGGAAAAAGGAGGAGAUGGAGAAUGGGUGAGGAGGUAAUGGGGGAGGUGCACGUUGUGAUUUAAUUCAAUAGUGGAAUUUGGGCUUUUAAUAUAAUUUAAUCGGAAAUGAGAGUUGGGUUGCUUUAUCAGUCCAUGGUAAAACAGCCUUUUGCUUUCCGCAUCUUCAAAAGUUCUUUCAACACCUUCUCAAAUUUUCUAAAUGACCAUUUUACAUUUUGGAAAAGUGAUUUUCGUAAUACAUGCAUUCUUAAACAAGUUUUUCAAAAUUUUUGAAACAAGAUUUUUGGUACGAUAUUUUUGAAAUGUAAACAAAACUUUCAGAACAUAUAAAAUGUUUUUGGAAAUAAGUUUUUCAGAAUGAAAUUUCCAUAAUAGAAUUUUUGAAAUACAUAUAAUUUGAAAUACUCCUACAUGUAUUUUCUUUAUUUUUCUUUCUUUGCCUUUUCUCUUAGCAU
rnacentral:lncRNA from 1 species